UUUAAGUUGCCAGAUAGAUGGGCCUGCUUUAGGUGCUUGUUAUAUGGGGUUUAUUCCUUUACUUAAAG
rnacentral:tRNA from 1 species